UUAGGAAUGAUUUUUUAAAUUAUUAAGUUUAUAAAACUGAAUUUUGGUGCCAUUUAUAAUCUUAGCCAAUGAAACAUGUUUAAAGCCUUUAAAUUGCACUUGUACACCUAAUAUGUUCAUUUUCUUUUUAAAAGAAAGCUGCCUUAGGAAAACUUCCUCAGGCAUUUGAAUCUUUUUUUAGAAUUCUAAUGACUUCUAAGUAUGGCGAGCUUAAGUUCUCAGAACGAUUUUCAUACCCUUGGCAAAUGUCGCGUAGGCUUUUGUAAAGGCCUCUGGUCCCAAGACGGAGUCACCUAGGUCAAACCCUAACAAAAUCAAGUCAGGACUGGGGCUGUGGCUCAGUGGCAGAGCGCUUGCCUGGCACGUGUGAGGCGCUGGGUUCGAUCCACAUACAAAUUAAUAGCAAAUAAAGAUACAAUAAUAACGGAGUGAGCACUAGUAAGCGCAGAGCUGGGAACCCCAACGACUCUGGUCCUGCGUGGACCCACGUGGACGCCCCAGCCCCAUGCGUCCUAGCAAGACCCCCAGGAGCCCCGCACGCGCCUCCAAGGCUGAGGAGCGCGGUGGAGGCCUUGAGUCCCGGGGCCUGCCUUCAGACCCCGCUCUGCCUUGCGCCAGCUGCUUACCUUGGGCAGGUGACUCUGGGGCGCAGUUUCCUCCUGUAGAAAAACGGGGUUAAUGAGCCAGGCGCCGUGGGGCACGCCUGCAAUCCCAGCCUGGCCAGUAGAGCGAGACCCUCAGCAACUUAGCGAGACCCUGUCUCAAUAAAUAAGAUAAAUAAAUAUAAUAUAAAGGACUGGGGAUGUGCCCCUGCAUUCGGUCGCCAGUGUGCACCCCCCACACACACCAAAAUGCGAAUCCUAGUAGCCUUUAGGGAGACCUAACGUGUUGCUGAGACCUCACCGUGUAGUAGCCAUUGAUAAGCUGUGGAGCCCAGCUGGCUAGGUCGCCUUCUCUGAGUGGGUGGGGCUUAAAGGCAAUUUAAUGAGAACCUCUAUUAACUACUUACUGUGGGUAAUCCUUGCUAAAUGCUUUACAAGGUUAUUCGCUGGGUGCUCCAUCAACAGCUCUGGGAGGGAGGCAGGCUCUCAUUAUCCCCGUUUUUGGAUGAGGAAAUGGGGGCCGGGAGAGAUGAAGUCAUUGUCCCGGGUUCCCACGGCUGGUAGGUGGCUUCCCGGGGAUUUGGCUUUAUCUUUCAGACCCACCAUGGGACACUGCCUCCUCUUUAUUCCGUCCCUGGGGAUAAAGGUAGUGAAAGAACUGGAGAAGGGAGUUAACCUGGAUCUGAAUGAAGAUGGGGGCCCCUGGAGAAAGAGCCAUGGGAAAUGGGGGAGGAAAAGGAGGAGGAGGGAGAGUCUGCCGCCUGGUGGUUUUCAGUUCCCGAGGGUGACCCCUUCUUUAGCACGGAUCCCCGGCCUGCAGCCUCAGCGCCGGCAGUACCGCCUGUCCGUGACGCCCUCCUUGGUCACGGCUGGGGACGGCUCUCUGCUUUUGAAGGUUCCUGGGAUUACACUGGGCUCUCUCGGAUAAUCCAGGGUCCACUCUUCUCAAGAACCUCGCCUUUCACCACAUUGGCAAAGCUCCUCUUGCCCACUCACGGAUCCCAGGGCUUAGGCCACGGGUGGGCCACUUCUCCGCCUAGGAUGGAGAGGUCUGGCAAUCUGCCAGCAUCACACAGCCCCGAAGUAGCAGAGCCGGGAGUUGAGCCCCCGCCUCCCACCUCUGCUGCCUGGUUCUACUUCUGUUGGCUGGGGAAGGGCUCACUCAAAGGCCGCAGGAAGCUUCUGAAUUAAUGCUGUGUUUACAAACUGAGGUGUCUCAGAAGGUGCUCAAUAGGUAAGACCAGUUAGGGGACAGGAAGGCCAAAGGCCCGCUGCGGGAGUCUGACCACCCAAGAGUUGCUGUUGCCCGUGGAAUGUCUGUCCAUCCACCAGGGCUGGCCAAAAGACAGGAACUUGCUUAUGAAGGACAAGUGGCCCCUUGCGGAUGCAAAAGGGUGGCCACUGGCUGGCCGGGGCCCCUUGGCUAGUGUCAUCCGUUGGAGGUGGUUUAAAUAGUCCUGCACACCUACCCAGCAGUCUCCGGGCUU
rnacentral:lncRNA from 1 species